rnacentral:rRNA from 1 species
GACGAACGCUGGCGGCGUGCUUAACACAUGCAAGUCGAACGGUGAUGGCAGGGCUUGCCUUGUCUGAUCAGUGGCGAACGGGUGAGUAACACGUGAGUAACCUGCCCCAGACUCUGGGAUAACCCCGGGAAACCGGAGCUAAUACCGGAUAUGACGCCGCGCCGCAUGGCUGCGGUGUGGAAAGUUUUUCGGUCGGGGAUGGGCGCGCGGCCUAUCGGCUUGUUGGUGAGGGAGUGGCUCCCCAAGGCGACGACGGGUAGCCGGCCUGAGAGGGCGACAGGCCACACUGGGACUGAGACACGGCCCAGACUCCUACGGGAGGCAGCAGUGGGGAAUAUUGCACAAUGGGCGAAAGCCUGAUGCAGCGACGCCGCGUGAGGGAUGACGGCCUUCGGGUUGUAAACCUCUUUCAGCAGGGAAGAAGCGCAAGUGACGGUACCUGCAGAAGAAGCACCGGCUAACUACGUGCCAGCCGCCGCCGUAACAC